CCUACGGGUGGCAGCAGUGGGGGAUAUUGCACAAUGGAGGAAACUCUGAUGCAGCGACGCCGCGUGAGGGAAGACGGUCUUCGGAUUGUAAACCUCUGUCUUUGGGGAAGAAAAUGACGGUACCCAAAGAGGAAGCUCCGGCUAACUACGUGCCAGCAGCCGCGGUAAUACGUAGGGAGCGAGCGUUGUCCGGAAUUACUGGGUGUAAGGGGAGCGUAGGCGGGCGGGAAAGUUGAAUGUUAAAUCUACCGGCUUAACUGGUAGCUGCGUUCAAAACUUCUUGUCUUGAGUGAAGUAGAGGCAGGCGGAAUUCCUAGUGUAGCGGUGAAAUGCGUAGAUAUAUGGAGGAACACCAGUGGCGAAGGCGACGAUCUGGCCUGCAACUGACGCUCAGUCCCGAAAGCGUGGGGAGCAAAUAGGAUUAGAUACCCGGGUAGUC
rnacentral:rRNA from 1 species